UACAGAGGUCCCAAGCGUUGUUCGGAUUCACUGGGCGUAAAGGGUGCGUAGGUGGUGAGGUAAGUCGGAUGUGAAAUCUCGGAGCUUAACUUCGAAACUGCAUUCGAUACUGCCGUGCUUGAGGACUGGAGAGGAGACUGGAAUUUACGGUGUAGCGGUGAAAUGCGUAGAUAUCGUAAGGAAGACCAGUGGCGAAGGCGGGUCUCUGGACAGUUCCUGACGCUGAGGCACGAAGGCCAGGGGAGCAAACGGG
rnacentral:rRNA from 1 species